rnacentral:rRNA from 1 species
AUUCCAGCUCCAAUAGCGUAUAUUAAAGUUGUUGCAGUUAAAAAGCUCGUAGUUGAACUUCUGGCUAUUCUUCCAGCUGGCUUCGGUCGCUGUAAGAGUGGUCAUCCGCUUGGGAACUACGUUCGAACUUCACUGUUCGGCGUAAGGAACAGGCAUUUUACUUAGAAAAAAUUAGAGUGUUCAAGGCAGGCUAUCGCCCUGAAUACACAAGCUUGGAAUAAUGAAAUAGGACUAUUUCCAUUUUAUUGGUUAUUGGAAUUAGUAAUGAUUAAUAGGGACAGUUGGGGACAUUAGUAUUUAAUUGUCAGAGGUGAAAUUCUUGGAUUUAUUAAAGACUAACUUAUGGGAAAGCAUUUGUCAAGGAUGUUUUCAUCG